rnacentral:rRNA from 1 species
AUUGAACGCUGGCGGCAUGCUUUACACAUGCAAGUCGGACGGCAGCACAGAGAAGCUUGCUUCUUGGGUGGCGAGUGGCGAACGGGUGAGUAACAUAUCGGAACGUACCGAGCAGUGGGGGAUAACUAAUCGAAAGAUUAGCUAAUACCGCAUAUAUUCUGAGGAAGAAAGCAGGGGACCAUUUGGCCUUGCGCUGUUUGAGCGGCCGAUAUCUGAUUAGCUAGUUGGUGGGGUAAAGGCCUACCAAGGCGACGAUCAGUAGCGGGUCUGAGAGGAUGAUCCGCCACACUGGGACUGAGACACGGCCCAGACUCCUACGGGAGGCAGCAGUGGGGAAUUUUGGACAAUGGGCGCAAGCCUGAUCCAGCCAUGCCGCGUGUCUGAAGAAGGCCUUCGGGUUGUAAAGGACUUUUGUCAGGAAAGAAAAAGGCGGGGUUAAUACCCCUGUCUGAUGACGGUACCUGAAGAAUAAG